rnacentral:rRNA from 1 species
GAUGAACGCUGGCGGCGUGCCUAAUACAUGCAAGUCGAGCGAACAGAUGAGGAGCUUGCUCCUCUGACGUUAGCGGCGGACGGGUGAGUAACACGUGGAUAACCUACCUAUAAGACUGGGAUAACUUCGGGAAACCGGAGCUAAUACCGGAUAAUAUAUUGAACCGCAUGGUUCAAUAGUGAAAGACGGUUUUGCUGUCACUUAUAGAUGGAUCCGCGCCGGAUUAGCUAGUUGGUAAGGUAACGGCUUACCAAGGCAACGAUGCGUAGCCGACCUGAGAGGGUGAUCGGCCACACUGGAACUGAGACACGGUCCAGACUCCUACGGGAGGCAGCAGUAGGGAAUCUUCCGCAAUGGGCGAAAGCCUGACGGAGCAACGCCGCGUGAGUGAUGAAGGUCUUCGGAUCGUAAAACUCUGUUAUUAGGGAAGAACAAAUGUGUAAGUAACUAUGCACGUCUUGACGGUACCUGAUCAGAAAGCCACGGCUAACUACGUG